UAGUCCCAGACUUGGACUGUCAGAACCUCCUGCGGGACUCACCUGGAAAUUGCCCACCACGGAGGUGCCCAGGGCACACAGGAGUCCGGUCCACAGGAUCAGCAGGGCCCCAGCCGCUGGAACUUCAGGCUGUUGGCUUCCUCCAGAGCACAGAUGAGACAGACAGAACAUUCCUCGAGGCCAGAAGCCAUCAACCCAUGGAGAGUGCGCCCCUGGCCACGGUGGCUUUUCCGGCUGGAGGGCAGGCACACUGGGACCCAAAAAGGAGGGUACAGAUGAGACUGGAGACCGAAACGCUUGCCAAAUCCUGCGCAGCUCACAAACGGCCCUUCCCGGGGCGCCGCCCCUGCCCCUGCAUUGUGCCCCCGACUCUUGGCCAGAGGCAGCAUGGUCCGCGGGGCACCAUGGGACCUGACAGAGUGACAGCCAGAGAGCUGUGUGAGAAUGACGACCUUGCCACCAGCCUUGUCCUGGACCCCUACCUCGGCUUCCGCACCCAUAAGAUGAACGUCAGCCCCGUGCCCCCCCUGCGGCGACAGCACCACCUGCGCUCAGCGCUGGAGGCCUUCCUGAAGCAGCGGGACCUGGAGGCUGCGUACCGGGCCCUGACGCUGGGAGGCUGGAUGGCCCACUACUUCCAGAGCCGGGGCCCGCGGCAGGAGGCUGCCCUCAAGACCCACAUCUAUCGCUACCUCCGAGCCUUCCUGCCUGAAAGCGGCUUUACCAUCCUGCCCUGUACACGCUAUUCUAUGGAGACAAAUGGAGCCAAGAUUGUGUCUACCAGAGCUUGGAAGAAGAACGAGAAGCUAGAACUGCUGGUGGGCUGCAUCGCGGAGCUGCGGGAGGCUGACGAGGGGCUGCUGAGGGCCGGCGAGAACGACUUCAGCAUCAUGUACUCCACCCGCAAGCGCAGCGCACAGCUGUGGCUGGGCCCCGCCGCCUUCAUAAACCACGACUGCAAACCCAACUGCAAGUUUGUGCCCGCAGAUGGGAACGCAGCCUGUGUGAAGGUACUCCGGGACAUUGAGCCGGGGGACGAGGUAACCUGCUUCUAUGGCGAAGGCUUCUUUGGUGAAAAGAAUGAGCACUGUGAAUGCUAUACCUGUGAGAGGAGAGGCGAAGGGGCCUUCCGACUGCGGCCCAGGGAACCCGCGCCCCCGCGGCUUCUGGACAAGUACGAGCUCCGGGAGACCAAGCGGAGGCUGCAGCAGGGCCUGGAGGGUGGUGGCCGGCUGGGCCCCAGGGCCUGCGCCCACCUGUCCCCACUGCUCCGGGACCCGUUCUGUGCUGCCUGCCAGCCCCUACGCCCCCUGCCCUGCGGCGCCCGCCCUGACGCCUCGCCCCUCUGGCUCCAGUGGCUGCCUCAGCCCCAGCCCCGGGUGCGCCCCCGGAGACGCCGACGCCCCCAGCCCCGGAGGGCCCCAGCUCCCCCCCUUCUCCGUGCUGCCCGCGUCUCCUUGCACCAGUGGGGAGGCUGUGGCCCCCGAUGCUGCCUGCAGGCGGAGGCCCUGGUGGCCCUGGGCCCGGCCCCCCGCGCCCACUGGGCCCCUCAGCAGGACUGGCACUGGGCCCGGCGCUAUGGGCUGCCUUACGUGGUGCGCGUGGACCUGAGCCGGGUGGCCCGGCCCCCACCUGCUGCCCCCGCCCCUGCCCCUGCCGGGACCCCAGGCCCCACCCCCAUCCCCAAGAAGGCCCUCGCCUUUGCCCCCUUCUCCCCACCCAAGCGCCUGCGGCUGGUGGUCAGCCAUGGUUCCAUUGACCUGGAUGUCAACGGUGACGGGCCGUGAUGGGCCGGAGGGGAGGCCCGAGGCCAGGAGAAGAUGGGAUCCUGCCUAGUCCCCCCUCCCCCACGGCCCCAUGUUCUCGGGGACUCACUGACCUCUAGAAGGAGCUCUUGGACCUCUGGGAGGGAGCUGGCCCUGGACCCCGGCACAGUUCUUACCGGGCUGGGGGCUGGGUCGGUUUGGAGACACCCAGGGAUCUGACCCCUGACCCUUUGUGACCGCUGACCCCUGAGCCGCCCCCGCCCCAUUGGGUGCCCUGGCCGCUGCUGCCCCACCCGCAUCCCCAACUCCAACCUCAGGACUACAGGAGCCGUUCCCUUCCCUACCCCCCCCUCCUGCCCAGGGAGCAAAGCCAUAAGGGGUGGGGGCCGCCCCUUGGUGUCUCCCCGGAAGCCCAGGCCUCAGGAGGCGGUGGAACUGACCUGGGGGCGGCCCCCCCUAGAGACUGCCCUGCGGAGGGGAGUGGGUUUGGGCUCAGCUCUGCGACUGUCUGAGGUGGGGGGGGGGGCAAGGUGGGGGGAUGUCUGGGACACGUCCUCACCACCCCGUGGGUCUCAGGGAGGCCGGACGCGACCUCAUCUUUCUCAUGGUGCUGUCCCUGGUGCUACUGGGGUGUGGGGGGUCCCUCCCCUCCCCCACACCAGAACGGGCUUUUCAUUUUGAUUUAUGUGUCGAGGGGAUGUUUGUGGAGCUUUGGAGGGGCGAAGGGUCGAUAGGAUGGCCCCGAGGAUGGCGGAGGACAGAGGCGAGAACCCCAUCCCCGCUGGAAGGGUGCUGGUGAAGAGUGCGAGGACUCCCCUCUCCUUCAGAUGAGGCCCGGCUCUGUGGGACCAGGGCGAUGAUGCUCCAGAUCUGGGGCCUUAGGGAACACCGCCGUCACCUUCGUGGUCACCUCCUCCCUGCCACUGUGCCUGAGACAUGGGGACAGCUACCCACCGAGCACCUGUCUGACUCCCACUGAGCCUGUUGGUUUGCAAGGAGGAAGGCGAGGAGGGCGCGGAGGGCAGACUGCAGUGCAGGUGCCUCACUGUGGCGUCUAGACCAGCAGCACAGCAGAGCCGGAAUCUCCUCCGGGAUGGAUGGACGGACAACCACGGGGCGGGGGGUUGCAAGCACUUCCAGAGAUCCUGUUGUAAAGUGUAGUAACUGCACAUG